UUUCAUGGGUCUCGGGAAAAAAAGUUUGGGCUUCAACGUUUUAGUUUAUGGAGUUUCUGAUAAAUCGAUUGCCUAAAAUCGAUUAUAAGAAUCUCUGUGUGUUUUUCAUAGCGUCGUUCAGUCUUCCUCAUUAUCAAUCGAAUGGUUUGGAGUUACAGAUGCAUCGCCUUUAUGGCCUUCUUAAAUCACUUGACCCAAUGCAUCCACUAUCUUUCAUUCAAUGUAAAUUUGUUUUAUGUAAGGCGGUGCAUGUAGGCUUCUCUUCCUAUAGAAAGGUUAGUUUCAUUCCUUUGAAAAUCAUCUUCUCAUUCCAUGAAACUACAAUCAAAACUUAUUCUCUGUCAAUGGCUAACUCCGCUGCUUUCCAAUUUGAAGUCAGGGUACUCAGAGAAAUCACAAAGUCAUCUCAAAGGAAUCAGAGGAGUCGAGAGCGUUCGCCGGCGCUGUCUUCUUCCAUCUACGGUGGCAAAACCCAGAUCUUUGAUUGCCAUAAAAAUCCCUGGUUGCAACCACAACUGUUUGGUUUCAUUAUGUGUUGCAGCCACAUAUGCGAGAGCACUAAAGUAAGCUCUUCAAGAAAUUUUCAAUCUUCAAAAGGGUUCUACGGGGGCUCAUACUCAAAACUUUGAAGCACCUGCUGAAGGAAGGUACCAUCUGUUAGCUAAGCGUAUCCAAUUUGACAAGAAAGUAAUAUCAACUUCAAACUCAUUGACUCACCAGUUUCCAUUCGCAUCAAUGGCCAGACCAAUGAGAUAACUGCUUUUAUUCUACCGAAAGUUCAGGUCUCAGAAAUAUGAGCAGCUAAUGCAUUUAGUUAUUACAAACGUGGAUUUGCUGGAUAUUUUCCGUGUUGUUUGUGGCAUCAAUAACACGACAACGAAGAAAAUCAGGCCGUGUUAUUCAUGGUGACGGAUGAAAGCUUCUAGCAAUUCAAAUUCUUAUUGUUAGAACAUUUCAAACAUAUGUUCUUCUUGACUACUAGACUUGGUAAGUAUUUAAUUUAUAAUAUUUUCCUGCACAGAAUUCCUAUGCUGCAACAUGAUUUGAGGUUUGUGCUUCGUUUUGUAUUAUGUGUAAAUAAUAUAUCUGAUGUUUCAUUCUUCGUAAAAAACUUGGAGAAUAUAGUGAGAAAAAGGGAUGAUGCAAGGUUAUUCAAAUACAAAGUCCAACACUUUGUGGAAGAUGGAAGUCUUUUACUUUUCUUUUCUAGGCUAUCUUUAUAUCCAUAAUAAGAUGCUAAAAGAACUGAUUUUUCCUGUUUUCUAUAAGCUGAUGCCGACACUAACAGAACAACUGAUCAUGGAGACUUCACAGAAGCAACAGUACACAUCAACAACAGACCCGACAGAGAAGAGCAUCCAUUCUUAGCCUUCUAAAGAAAAAUUGAAGCUACAGAUUAGUCUUUUGUACAGAUAAAAGAUAAAGGAAAGUAAAAGUAUCAAUGGAUCUAAGAAACAAAUGUAUAAGACUGCAAAUAAUAUAUAAUUUGUGUUUUUUUUUUUUUA